UGGUGGAUUAGGUUUCUGGU
rnacentral:piRNA from 1 species